AGUAAGUAAGGAAUACAACACAGAUAGUGUUGUUGAGGAUCUCUUUUUGUCAAGCAGAAGUAGAUAGUGACUCUUCCAAUUCUCCGAUGAACUUUAGAAAUAAACAGUCCCACACUGGCGCAUUGGUAUAUAUCAUCCAAUUAUCUCAAUUCCAAAUAUAUCUUUCAAUUUUUGAAUCGUCAUCGAUUGAAUCCAAUCUAUCAGACCCGCCAAGACACUCUUAUCUUUAACAAAUCAUAAACAUGACUAUUGGAAUAAUAACGCGAUGCCUAUGAUGUUACAAUAAUCCACCACAACUUCUAUCAGACUCAAUCGUUUAAUCUGCCCAGUGUUGUGUAGGGGGCCUUGUCACAAUGCCACAAUUUCCAACGAUAACUGACUUCCUUACUUACCCAGACACUGCUCCAAUUGACAAGCCUAAUCAACAAGAUUGUCACACUCGUUUACAGGCCUUUAUUCGAUUGUGUUUGAAACGACGUUGUCAAUAAACUUUUCUCGAAGUGUCAGUGUGCUGUCCGGACUAGAAAAAUGUACAAGAAUCCCUUCAACAGAAGACAUUGUACUAUUCGUCAAGUGUUCGACAAGCUAUUUCACGUCGAGAACCAUAAGUGGAAAACUAAAAAGGUAGAAGAUAGGGCGAACUCUACCAGUAGUAAGACUUUGAAGAGUAUCUAUUCACCCUCCUGCAGCUUUAGCUUGAAAAGAGAGAGAGUUAGAAAAUGAACUGGAAGAUUAUUGAACAAGAAAGGUUUGCUGAUCUUACGAUUCUCAAUGCUUCGAUUUAAAAAUUAUAGAGGUAGAGACUCCGAGUAUGAGGUUUUUGUAAAUGGCUCUUAGUUUUAUUCUCAUAUUAUCGAAUAAUUUAUGUACAAAUAGCUCUGUCCAUAGUUAAGUGAAAUGAUGAAUAAAUAAAUGAUCCACA